rnacentral:rRNA from 1 species
AGUGAACGCUGGCGGUAGGCCUAACACAUGCAAGUCGAACGGCAGCACAGUAAGAGCUUGCUCUUACGGGUGGCGAGUGGCGGACGGGUGAGGAAUACAUCGGAAUCUACUUUUUCGUGGGGGAUAACGUAGGGAAACUUACGCUAAUACCGCAUACGACCUACGGGUGAAAGCAGGGGAUCUUCGGACCUUGCGCGAUUGAAUGAGCCGAUGUCGGAUUAGCUAGUUGGCGGGGUAAAGGCCCACCAAGGCGACGAUCCGUAGCUGGUCUGAGAGGAUGAUCAGCCACACGGGAACGGAGACACGGUCAAGACUCCUACGGGAGGCAGCAGUGGGGAAUAUUGGACAAUGGGCGCAAGCCUGAUCCAGCCAUACCGCGUGGGUGAAGAAGGCGUUCGGGUUGUAAAGCCCUUUUGUUGGGAAAGAAAAGCAGCAGGUUAAUACCCCGCUGUUCUGACGGUACCCAAAGAAUAAGCACCGGCUAACUUCGUG